rnacentral:rRNA from 1 species
CUACGGGUGGCUGCAGUGGGGAAUAUUGGACAAUGGGCGAAAGCCUGAUCCAGCCAUGCCGCGUGUGUGAAGAAGGCCUUCGGGUUGUAAAGCACUUUCAGUGGGGAAGAAAGCCUUGGGGCUAAUACCCUCGAGGAAGGACAUCACCCACAGAAGAAGCACCGGCUAACUCCGUGCCAGCAGCCGCGGUAAUACGGAGGGUGCGAGCGUUAAUCGGAAUUACUGGGCGUAAAGCGCGCGUAGGCGGUCUGAUAAGCCGGUUGUGAAAGCCCCGGGCUCAACCUGGGAACGGCAUCCGGAACUGUCAGGCUAGAGUGCAGGAGAGGAAGGUAGAAUUCCCGGUGUAGCGGUGAAAUGCGUAGAGAUCGGGAGGAAUACCAGUGGCGAAGGCGGUCUUCUGGACUGACACUGACGCUGAGGUGCGAAAGCGUGGGUAGCAAACAGGAUUAGAUACCCUGGUAGUC